AUUGAACGCUGGCGGCAGGCCUAACACAUGCAAGUCGAGCGAGCGGCGGACGGGUGAGUAAUGUCUGGGAAACUGCCUGAUGGAGGGGGCUAACUACUGGAAACGGUAGCUAAUACCGCAUACCAUCAGAUGUGCCCAGAUGGGAUUAGCUAGUAGGUGGGGUAACGGCUCACCUAGGCGACGAUCCCUAGCUGGUCUGAGAGGAUGACCAGCCACACUGAAACUGAGACAGGGGCCGGACUCCUACGCGAGGCAGCAGUGGGGAAUAUUGGCAAAUGGGCGAAGACCAGAUGCAGCCAUGCCGCGUGUGGGAGGAAGGCGUUCGGGUUGUAAAGCACUUUCAGCGGGGAGGCGUUACCCGCAGAAGAAGCACCGGCGCACUCCGUGCCAGCAGCCGCGGUAAUAC
rnacentral:rRNA from 1 species